UAAUCUAUCUUGGAUAAAUUCUCAUCUAGUUGUUGUAGGCCCACACCUGACUGCUCAAAAUUACUUAUUAUCGCUAGCCUGACUACUUUAGUUUAGUUGCGUGUGUCGACAACAACUAUUCUCCAUACUUUUAUGAAUAGUAA
rfam:Populus trichocarpa scaffold_16_contig_247, whole genome shotgun sequence.